GCCCUGGCUGGGCGGUCCGGCCUAUGUGGGUCGGUACUGCUUUGGCCGGGGUUCACCUUCUGGUGAGCCAGCAUGCUCUUCGCUGGGUGUGUUGGGGAACCAGGACUUUUACUUUGAAAAAAUUAGAGUGUUUAAAGCAGGCAUACGCUUGAAUACAUUAGCAUGGAAUAAUAGAAUAGGACUUUGGUUCUAUUUUGUUGGUUUCUAGGACCGAGGUA
rnacentral:rRNA from 1 species